GAGGCUGCGCAGAGUCAGACUUUAAAGGAGGCGGAGCUCUGUCUUUCGCCCUCAAGAAAGACAGUGGGAUCGGCGAGUGGCGACAACAGCAAUCGGGCCUGAGCCCUGCUAGGGCUUUAGGCUCCAGGUUUUUAUCCUAGCAAAAUCGGCCUCAAAAACAGAGAAGACAAGAUGGCUUCUGAAUCAGAAACUUUGAACCCCAGUGCUCGGAUCAUGACCUUUUACCCCACCAUGGAAGAGUUCCGGAACUUCAGCCGCUACAUUGCCUACAUUGAAUCCCAAGGAGCUCAUCGGGCUGGGCUAGCCAAGGUCGUUCCUCCCAAAGAGUGGAAGCCUCGAACAUCCUACGACGAUAUUGAUGAUCUAGUCAUCCCUGCGCCCAUCCAGCAGCUGGUGACUGGCCAGUCUGGCCUCUUCACUCAGUACAACAUACAGAAGAAAGCCAUGACCGUUCGUGAGUUCCGCAAGAUCGCCAAUAGCGACAAGUACUGCACCCCGCGAUACAGUGAAUUUGAAGAACUUGAGCGUAAAUACUGGAAAAACCUCACAUUCAAUCCUCCCAUCUAUGGAGCAGACGUGAAUGGUACUCUCUAUGAACAGCACGUUGAUGAGUGGAAUAUCGGCCGGCUGAAGACCAUCCUGGACCUGGUGGAGAAGGAGAGCGGGAUCACCAUUGAGGGGGUGAACACCCCCUACCUUUACUUCGGCAUGUGGAAGACGUCCUUCGCCUGGCACACGGAAGACAUGGAUCUAUACAGCAUCAACUAUCUGCACUUCGGAGAGCCAAAGUCUUGGUACUCUGUUCCACCUGAGCAUGGGAAACGCCUGGAGCGUCUUGCCAAAGGCUUUUUCCCAGGAAGUGCUCAAAGCUGUGAGGCUUUUCUCCGCCACAAGAUGACCCUGAUCUCCCCAUUAAUGCUGAAGAAGUAUGGCAUUCCCUUUGACAAGGUGACCCAAGAAGCUGGCGAGUUUAUGAUCACUUUUCCGUAUGGUUACCAUGCUGGCUUCAACCAUGGCUUCAACUGUGCAGAGUCAACCAAUUUUGCUACCCGUCGGUGGAUUGAGUAUGGCAAGCAGGCUGUGCUGUGCUCCUGCAGAAAAGAUAUGGUGAAGAUCUCCAUGGACGUGUUCGUGAGGAGGUUCCAGCCGGAACGCUACAAACUUUGGAAAGCUGGGAAGGACAGCAUGGUUAUUGACCACACUCUGCCCACACCGGAAGCAGCCGAGUUCCUGAAGGACAGCGGCGGACUAACCCCGAGAGCAGGGAGUGAGGAGUGCCCAGAGGAGGACGUGGAAGCAGCGGAUCAGGGAGAGGAGGGGGAUGUGAAGAGAAGCCUGGCCAAGCAUCGGAUCGGGACAAAGAGACACAGAGUCUGUCUGGAAAUACCCCAGGAGGUCAGUCAGAGCGAGCUCUUCCCCAAGGAAGAGCUAAGUUCUGGACAGUAUGAGAUGACAGAGUGCCCGGCCACCCUCGCCCCAGUGAGGCCCACCCACAGCUCCGUGCGGCAAGUUGAGGACAGUCUUCCCUUCCCAGAUUACUCUGACCCCACUGAAGUCAAAUUUGAAGAGCUGAAGAAUGUCAAACUAGAAGAGGAAGAUGAGGAGGAUGAGCCCGAAGCAGCCGCACUGGACCUUUCUGUGAAUCCUGCGUCUGUAGGAGGACGCCUCGUCUUCUCGGGUUCCAAAAAGAAAUCAUCUUCCAGCCUGGGCUCCACUUCAUCUCAGGAUUCAGUUUCUUCAGAUUCUGAAACCGCCGAGUCUGUCUCUUGCCAGGGCCAAGAGAAAACGGGAGUUCUCACCGUGCACAGCUAUGCCAGAGGGGACGGCAAGGCUGCCACAGGAGAGCCGAGUGUGAAGAAGAAGCGCAGUGCUCCCCGCAGCAUCAGCGAGCAGGAGCUGGCAGAGGUUGCAGAUGAGUACAUGCUUUCCCUGGAGGAGAAUAAGAAGACCAAGGGUCGCCGCCAGCCCUUGAGCAAGCUCCCACGCCACCACCCACUCGUGCUGCAGGAGUGCGGCAGCGAUGACGGACAACUGAAGGGAAAGCCCAGAGGAGAACGGACUUGACUCGCUGGCAUUUUGGAGGCAGCAAACCGCAUAGUUCCUGACUGUCUGCUGCUUUAUUCUGCUGCCCACAGAGGGCAGAGGGUUGAAUGUGGCAGCUGUUACAGGGGACAGAGUGGGAUGAGCACCCAGAACAUGAGGAAGAAUAGAGACCUUGAGCCAGUCUGACAACAGAAAGCAGUUGCGACAGCCACCCUAGUCCCCCAUGUCCCCGUUCACAUCCCAGCUAAGUCUCCCGGGCUAGUCCCCCAUGUCCCCACUCACAUCCCAGUUAAGUCACCCUGGCCUAAAAGGAGUCUGUUGGUAAUUGUUUGGCCUUUGCCUUUUAUCAUCCUCUGGAAUCCUGAGUUUAGUCCUAACCUGGAGCCAGGGCCACUGGCUGAACUCCUCCGCACUGUAGGCAGACCUCCUGUGUGCAGGCUGGUGCUAACUCACACUUCUGUUUCCUCCUCUAGAGACUUCUGAGCAGCUGACCCCCGAGGAGGAGGCUGAGGAGACAGAGGCUUGGGCCAAGCCUCUGAGCCAGCUGUGGCAGAACCGACCCCCGAACUUUGAGGCUGAAAAGGAAUUCAAUGAGAUCAUGGCCCAACAGGCCCCUCACUGUGCUGUGUGUAUGAUCUUCCAGACCUACCAUCAGGUGGAAUUUGGAGCCUUCAGUCAGAGCUGUGGGGAUGCUUCAGAGCCGGCUGCCCAGACUCAGAGGACCAAGCCACUGAUCCCCGAAAUGUGCUUUACCACCACUGGCUGCAGCACAGACAUCAAUCUGUCCACCCCGUACCUAGAGGAGGAUGGCACCAGCAUGCUAGUGUCCUGCAAGAAGUGCAGUGUCCGGGUCCACGCCAGUUGCUAUGGCGUCCCUCCUGCCAAGGCUUCUGAAGAAUGGAUGUGCUCUCGAUGUUCAGCCAAUGCCCUGGAGGAAGACUGCUGCUUAUGCUCGUUGCGUGGAGGGGCCCUGCAGAGAGCCAAUGACGACAGAUGGGUUCAUGUUUCAUGUGCAGUGGCAAUUCUAGAAGCAAGGUUUGUCAACAUUGCUGAAAGAAGUCCAGUGGAUGUGAGCAAAAUCCCUCUGCCCCGCUUCAAACUGAAGUGUGUUUUUUGUAAGAAGCGGAGAAAACGGAAUGCUGGCUGCUGUGUGCAGUGCUCCCAUGGCCGCUGCCCCACUGCCUUCCAUGUGAGCUGUGCCCAGGCUGCUGGGGUGAUGAUGCAACCCGACGACUGGCCCUUUGUUGUCUUCAUCACGUGCUUCCGUCACAAGAUUCCCAAUCUGGAGCGUGCUAAGGGAGCCUUGCUGAGCAUCACGGCGGGCCAGAAGGUUAUCAGCAAACACAAGAACGGGCGCUUCUACCAGUGUGAGGUGGUCAGACUCACCACCGAGACCUUCUACGAAGUCAACUUUGACGACGGCUCCUUCAGUGACAACCUUUAUCCUGAGGACAUAGUGAGUCAGGACUGUCUCCAACUGGGGCCUCCUGCUGAAGGUGAAGUGGUUCAAGUCAGAUGGACAGAUGGCCAAGUCUAUGGGGCUAAGUUUGUGGCCUCCCACCCCAUCCAGAUGUACCAGGUGGAGUUUGAGGAUGGCUCGCAGCUGGUGGUUAAGAGAGAUGAUGUAUACACACUCGAUGAAGAGCUUCCCAAGAGAGUCAAGUCUAGACUGUCGGUGGCUUCAGACAUGCGCUUCAAUGAGAUUUUCACAGAGAAGGAAGUGAAGCAAGAAAAGAAGAGGCAACGGGUCAUCAACUCGCGGUACCGGGAGGAUUACAUCGAGCCAGCGCUGUACCGGGCCAUCAUGGAGUAGAUGCUUCCAGGAUCUGAGAGGUUCCCAGCCAUCAAGGCGAGAGCACUCUAGGGUUCCACAGCACAGCAGACACUUGGAACUCGAACUUGGAACUUCACUUCGAAAGUGAAGCUGUACACAGAAAAGGAAUGACGUGUCCGACCUUUCACCUUCUCACUCCACCCUCGAUGCAUUCUGCCGGGAAAAGACAAGCCUAUUGUGGGUGCUUGGCAGCAGCUGUCCGUCCUCAGCUGACGGGCCGACACUGGGAUGCUGUGAUUGCAUCAGCCCCCAGUCCAAUCGGGUCAGCUGUUCCUGCUGGGCGGAUUGUUCUUUCUUAGUGGCUUGCUUCCUACCCGCCCACCGGCACCAGCAAGGCAGAGAGGUGCUGGUGCUGACCCAAUCCCCUUUUGUAUUUAUGUAUGCGUGUGUGAGCGUGCACACGUGCAAGUGUGUACCUGUGUGUAAGCGUGAGAACGUGUGAGUGUACACCUGUGUGUGUGUGUGUGUGUGUGCUUGAGAAUGUGUGUGUGGGUGUGCAAGUACGUAUGUGGUUGCACUCGUGUACGUGAGUGCGUGUGUGUGCUUGGUCAGGACUAGCUUCUGCCAGCCCCUGGGCUUCACUUUCUUCUUUGCCUCUGCAGGGCAAACAAAAUGUGAAAUUCUGCCCUCAGCCAAGCUGAGUAAGGGCCCCGGGGGAUGGGUAGAGGUGGGGUGCCAUCUGUCCCUUCCUGGACCGAUCUCAAGAGAGCGCCGGCAAAGCUGCAGUAUUGGGAUGCUAAGGAGCUGGCUGCCACCUCUGUCCACCCUUGAAGUAGAACUCAGAGGUUAUAUACUAUGAGCCCACAAAUGUCAGGCACGGAAGCCCCUGCCUGCGGCCACAGUGUUAGAGGGUGUGGGUGGGGACCACCUUGAAGGGAUAAUUUUAAUGAUGGAAACAGGCAGAGCCUGGUGGGUGAUUUUUGUGCAGUUAUGCAGGGGCUAACUAUGGGUUAGGAUGAACUGGGGCCACUGGAGGCCAAGGGCUGGUAUAGCUACGCCCUUGGUCAGGGGUGGGGUGGGGCUGGUUGAGGGUGGGGGUGGGAUGGGACUAGAGGGCAACAUUGAAGGGGUUAAACAGGUUCCUGAAUUUGUUUGCCUGGGCCCAAUAUGGAGGGCUUCAUACCUUGCUCUGUAUACAGGAGUCAGAUUUAUAAUACUUCCCCUUUUUUGUUACGUAUGAACUCUAUAAACCAAAUUAUUUUGAAAACCGGUGCAUUACCUUGUCCUUAGCAAUAAAAUGGAUUGAACAGAG